rnacentral:rRNA from 1 species
GAUGAACGCUGGCGGCGUGCUUAACACAUGCAAGUCGAACGAAGCAUUUGCGACAGAUUUUUUCGGAAUGAAGUUGCUUAUGACUGAGUGGCGGACGGGUGAGUAACGCGUGGGUAACCUGCCUUGUACUGGGGGAUAGCAGCGGGAAACGGCUGGUAAUACCGCAUAAGCGCACAAUGUUGCAUGACAUGGUGUGAAAAACUCCGGUGGUAUAAGAUGGACCCGCGUCUGAUUAGCUAGUUGGUGAGAUAACAGCCCACCAAGGCGACGAUCAGUAGCCGACCUGAGAGGGUGACCCGCCACAUUGGGACUGAGACACGGCCCAGACUCCUGCGCGAGGCAGCAGUGGCGAAUAUUGCACAAUGGAGGAAACUCUGAUGCAGCGACGCCGCGUGAGUGAAGAAGUAAUUCGUUAUGUAAAGCUCUAUCAGCAGGGAAGAUAGUGACGGUACCUGACUAAGAAGCUCCGGCUAAAUACGUG